GUAGCGGCGAGCGAAGCGGGAAGAGCUCAAAUUUAUAAUCUGGCACCUUCGGUGUCCGAGUUGUAAUCUCUAGAAGUGUUUUCCGCGUUGGACCGCACACAAGUCUGUUGGAAUACAGCGGCAUAGUGGUGAAACCCCCGUAUAUGGUGCGGACGCCCAGCGCUUUGUGAUACACUUUCAAUGAGUCGAGUUGUUUGGGAAUGCAGCUCAAAUUGGGUGGUAAAUUCCAUCUAAAGCUAAAUAUUGGCGAGAGACCGAUAGCGAACAAGUACCGUGAGGGAAAGAUGAAAAGCACUUUGGAAAGAGAGUUAACAGUACGUGAAAUUGUUGGAAGGGAAACGCUUGAAGUCAGACUUGCUUGCCGGAGCUUGCUUCGGUUUGCAGGCCAGCAUCAGUUUUCCGGGGUGGAUAAUGACGGUUUGAAGGUAGCAGUCUCGGCUGUGUUAUAGCUUUCCGUUGGAUACAUCCUGGGGGACUGAGGAACGCAGCGUGCUUUUUGCGAAAGACUCGUCUUUUUCACGCUUAGGAUGCUGGUGGAAUGGCUUUAAACGAC
rnacentral:rRNA from 1 species